rnacentral:rRNA from 1 species
GAGGGUGCGAGCGUUAAUCGGAAUUACUGGGCGUAAAGCGUGCGUAGACGGUUAUUUAAGUCGGAUGUGAAAGCCCCGGGCUCAACCUGGGAAUUGCAUUCGAGACUGAAUAGCUAGGGUACGGUAGAGGGAAGUGGAAUUUCCGGUGUAGCGGUGAAAUGCGUAGAUAUCGGAAGGAACAUCAGUGGCGAAAGCGACUUCCUGGACCAGUACCGACGUUCAGGCACGAAAGCGUGGGGAGCAAACAGGAUUAGAUACCCUGGUAGUCCACGCCAUAAACGAUGAGGACUAGACGUUGGAGGGGUAAGCCUUUCAGUGUCGUAGCUAACGCGCUAAGUCCUCCGCCUGGGGAGUACGGCCGCAAGGUUG